rnacentral:rRNA from 1 species
GGACUACCCGGGUAUCUAAUCCCAUUUGCUCCCCUGGCUUUCGUUCCUCAGCGUCAGUUACGGCCCAGUAAGUCGCCUACGCCACUGGUGUUCUUUCUGAUAUCUACGCAUUUCACCGCUACACCAGAAAUUCCACUUACCUCUACCGCACUCAAGUCUGCCAGUAUCCAAUGCAGUCCCGGGGUUGAGCCCCGAUAUUUAACAUCAGACUUAACAGACCGCCUACGAACUCUUUACGCCCAAUAAAUCCGGACAACGCUUGCAUCCUACGUCUUACCGCGGCUGCUGGCAC